GGCCUGAUGGUCUAGUAGUAUGAUUCCUUGUUAGGGUGACACGCGGCGUUACGUUUCGAGGAGGUCCCGGGUUCAAUUCCCGGUCAGGCCC